rnacentral:lncRNA from 10 species
CGUGAUCCGCCCGCCUCGGCCUCCCAAAGUGCUGGGAUUACAGGCGUGAGCCACCGCGCCCGGCCGGAACUAGUACUCUUGCAAGAAAAUCACUGGGAGAUGAUUUAGGAGGAGGAGCACAACUUUAGGUUUGAAUAUGAAAUUGGAACAAGUGUACUCAUAGGCUCAGCAUUCACUCUCUUAUCCCAGUCCCCUCCUGCUUUUUGGCUUAUUCUCUUUAUUAUUCAUGCACAAGAUGUUCCCUCUCUUUUCACUCUCACAGAAUCAUGCAUUGUUUUGAGGUUGAAAUUGUCUUUCUUAUCUUUGUAUUCCUUACAGUAAACACACAUAAUAAGGAUUCAACAAUAUUUUUCAAAGGAAAUAAAACAUCAAGCCCAGGGGCCACUGAUUUAAUUGCUCUCUUGAGCAAGUCCAUUCAUGGCUCUAAAUGUCUAUUUACUAUGGUUAUUCAUGAUGUUGAUGAAUGUCUCAGCAACUACCAUUAACUGAGCACUUCUACUCGAUGCAGACUAUUGUGUUGUGCUGAGUUUUACCUUCAUUCUUCGUUUCACUUAGUCCUCAUAACAAUCCUUAGAGGGUGUCAACAGAGGCAACAAAAGGAAAGUGGGCAAACCUUUAAUAUGCAAGGUCUCUUCUCAUUAUGCAGAGAACAAUGGCCACUGAACCUACAUCCAAUCAAACCAAGUCUGCUCGAGCUGCAGAAGUGCAAAUCCUUGGUCCCUAGACAUUAAUCAUUUCCAUACAUGAAUGAGAAGCUUGUGGGGAUAGGUAGUUUUAUUUAUAAGCCAACACAUACUCACUCCCGCUCCCUCCAUACAUACACAUAAGCUUCAGCCUUUUUAAGACACAAGGGUGUCUUUCAGUUUACCUACUUUUUUAGACCUGUGUGGAUAUAAGGAUUACAGGUUUCCUGCCUGUCCAGGAAGAGUGAUCACUUUGCUCUCUAAGAACUUAACUCCCAGGCUUAAUUAUUAUGCGAGUGUGCAAGUGUAUUAAGCAUGUAGGCCAAAAGCAAUUUAAAGUCUAUGCUGCAUUGACUUUCAAAUUAUUUCAUUUCUAAUUCAGAUGCAUGCUUUGUUAAGGCAUUUAUCACUGUUAUAUCAUCAGCCAGAUUGUUCCAUGACUACAGUCCCUCAAAACCUCUAUCCCCACCGGGUCCACAUCAGGAGCACUAAAUGACAUCCCCUACCCUCGUACGUUGAGUCAAGCUUGGAGUCUCCUCCCCAAGUGCCUCACUUCAUCUUUCGAUGUAUCUCCCACUGGUGGAAAAUGUAUCAAACACUGCAUAUCUCAUCAGCAAGACCAUUUGUUUCUCCUUACUAAGGCAUUGUGGUGCUCCUAGAAAGGUGGACACAGUUUCACGCCCGCACUCAGAAUUCCUUGAAACUAGUCAAAUGACUUUCAUCAGUAAAUCAGAUAUUACUUCCUUGAAUAUGUUGGAUUCUUAGAAAAAUUAAUGAAUACAAAGAUUCUAUAGUCUUGGAACGUGAGGAAUUAACAGAUAACCAAAGCAUCUUAAAGCCAUACCUAAUGUCAGUAAUCUAUCCCUUGUAAACGUAAAUCUAACGAUGUCUAUACUAACAGCUUCUAAAGGACCAAUAGUCCUUCCCCAUCCAGACCUCUUAACCUCAAUGAAGACUAUUCCCACCAUACAUGCCACAUAUUAAACCUGUAUCUGGGAGGAGGAGAGAGUUUCUGGGAUAUGGAGAAAGACAAUAUUUUUGCUGUUCCUUUGUCCUUAACAUUUUUAUUUUGUCUUGAUAUUUUUACUUAUUCCAUGAUUUUGCAGCUAAAGAAUGGAGUCGGAGAUGGAGCAGAGAGAAUAUUUGGAAAAUAACUAAAAUUAGCAGAUGCAAACUGUGCACUUACAGUCAGUAGCAGAAUAAAAAAUCUGGGCUUUUGGUACUGAUUUGGUAUGACCUUCUUCUUUCUCAUUUUGAAACCUCUUACUGCUGCCAGAGAAACCAACAACACUCUUUGCACUAUGUUACACUCAAGGUAGCUGAAAAACUUCAUCAAUAAGUAUCCUGAGGUUUAAGCCAACCAAUAAAAUUAAAGAAAAGAAAGUCAUUACAGUAGGAUGUGUGAUUUAGGGCCAACAUGAAAAGCAACGAAGAGAACUCUGUAUGUCACUAAUGGAAACUUGGCCAGUUCCUACCUACUAAUAAAUAAUGUGCUGUUAAGCUGAGAGCUAAAUAUUUGGGUGAGGAUUUGGAGAUUCCAGAAAUCCUGAAACUAAUUAAGACAUAAAUAUGAGGAUCCUGAAAAGUUCAAGGAUAGAUUAGGGGGAAUGAAUGCACCAGCAAGAUGACCUCACUCUCCAGCAAACAGGCUCAGGUGAGGUAGGACAUUGAAAUGGAACUGGGUCCCUGGAGGACAUGAAGGAAGCUGAAACAGAGUGUGUGGGAUCUAAGAAGGAAAAAUUUGUAUUUUUGUGUACUUUUGGUUUUCGAUCCUUAUACUGAUCUACUUGUAUCAAG